CAACAUUUGCCUUUUCUACAAAAGCUAGAUCUCAGAGACUCUAGAAGCCUAAUGCAAACACCGGAUUUCACAUGGAUGCCAAAUUUGAAGUAUUUGGAUUUGUCAUAUUGUAGAAAUCUUGAAGAGGUUCACCAGUCCCUGGGAAAUUCCAGAAAACUCAUUGAGUUAAAUUUGUAUAAUUGUGGACGCCUUAAGAGGUUUCCUUGUGUUAACGUGGAAUCUCUUGAUUAUAUGGAUCUGGAGUUUUGCUCUAGUUUAGAGAAACUUCCAGAAAUCAUCGGAAGAAUGAAGCCGGAGUUAAAGAUUAAGACGGGACUCUCUGGGAUAAGGGACUACCCAUAGUGAUAAUGCUCGAUUGAGAAACCGAAUUAGAACUAGAACUUACAGAUAUCACUGUUCAUACCCUUUUGCCGGAACCAUUAAGUGGAAAAAGAUGCAGCACAGAGUGAGACAUUGGAGGAAGCUGGAGUACGCGGUGAAGUUGAGGUUCGUUUCCCUCGUGAUCUCCUUCAGUUCUCUUAUGCUUCUUUUGAUGGAAAAUGUGAAACAUAAGAAACCUAAUUUUGUUUUGACUUAUCUAUUACAUAAGAUAAAAUAUGUUACCACUAUCAAAAACAUCUCUCUUGUUAUGGGUAGAGAGUUGGGUAAAAGAUGAAAUAAUUGAUGUGAGACAGUGAAGAAAGCUUGAGUACGAGGUGAAGUUGAGGCUCUUUCUCCCCCGUGAAGGUGAAAUAAGCAGCAAAGUCUUUCUGUUAACUUGCCUCUUACAUCAGAAGUUGAAGGCUCGUGAUUUUUCUUGUUUCUUGAAAAAUAUUGAGUGCUAGAUUAAUAUACCAAAUGUUACUUACUAGCCCUUUCCUCUCAAAACUGUUUGCGCCAAUUCAUGGUUAGAUGUGAUGUCAAAUUAAGAAUAUAUGAUCUUUUUUAUCUUACAUGAUGAAGCCAGUUGCUCGUCUUCUAAUGUUUGUGGGAGCUCUGUCUUUGAGAAUCUCCCUUUUUAUGUAAUCGUCUCCUUCUAUCAGCUACAAAGUGUUUAAAUGUAAGUAUCUCUCUUGUCAUGGCAGGGAAGUUGGGAGUAAGAUGAAACAAUCAAAGAUGCAGCACAAUGUAAGAUGGUGGGGGAAGCUGGAGUGAAGUUGAGUGUAAACUGGGACCAUGGUACUUCGAGAACAAUGCUGGUAACUUCGCCUAUGUAGCAGAACAACCUGAAUCUUGGCCUGUGAUAGAUGAAUGUGUGUAAGGCAAGAAAGCUGUGCCAAAACGGGUGAACAAUAGAAGCAAUAGUAAGUCGUGUCACAUCACAAAGCAAGAGGAGCAGAGAGGAACUGUUUCCAGGAAUCGAACGUACUUCCAGUGGUUGAGCAAGCUCAAAUAUUUUCUCCCCCACUACCAAGUUCUACUGAAGAAGCAUAAUCUCCAUUCAUAUCGUAUCAACAUGAUAGAAAUAGUUUGUUAAUAUGAAGCACAACAAAUUAUCCAUCUAGCACUAGGAUUAAGUAUAACUAAUACUAGUGGAUAUAAUCUUGAUGAUGUUACUAUUACAUUUGUAGAUAAAUUAACCACUUAAAUUAUGUCACAUCCUUUAAUUGUAUUGCAUUACUCUCAUUAGUGGAUAUUCAGAUU